ACUCCUACGGGAGGCAGCAGUGGGGAAUCUUAGACAAUGGGCGCAAGCCUGAUCUAGCCAUGCCGCGUGAGUGAUGAAGGCCCUAGGGUCGUAAAGCUCUUUCGCCAGGGAUGAUAAUGACAGUACCUGGUAAAGAAACCCCGGCUAACUCCGUGCCAGCAGCCGCGGUAAUACGGAGGGGGUUAGGCGUUGUUCGGAAUUACUGGGGCGUAAAGCGCACGUAGGCGGAUCAGAAAGUUGGGGGUGAAAUCCCGGGGCUCAACCCCGGAACUGCCUUCAAAACUCCUGGUCUAGAGUUCGAGAGAGGUGAGUGGAAUUCCGAGUGUAGAGGUGAAAUUCGUAGAUAUUCGGAGGAACACCAGUGGCGAAGGCGGCUCACUGGCUCGAUACUGACGCUGAGGUGCG
rnacentral:rRNA from 1 species